AUUGAACGCUGGCGGCGUGCCUAAUACAUGCAAGUCGAGCGGAGCGGCGGACGGGUGAGUAAGGACUACGAAUCUGCCUUACCGUUAGGGAUAACGUAACGUAACGGGAGCUAAUACCGCAUACUUUCAGAUGAGCCUAGGUUGGAUUAGCUAGUUGGUGGGGUAAAGGCCUACCAAGGCGACGAUCCGUAGCUGGCCUGAGAGGAUGAUCAGGCACACUGGAACUGAGACACGGUCCAGACUCCUACGGGAGGCAGCAGUGGGGAAUAUUGCGCAAUGGGCGAAAGCCUGAUGGAGCCAUGCCGCGUGAGUGAAGAAGGUCUUCGGAUUGUAAAGCACUUUAAGUUGGGAGGCGUUACCUACAGAAUAAGCCCCGGCUAACUACGUGCCAGCAGCCGCGGUAAUAC
rnacentral:rRNA from 1 species